rnacentral:misc_RNA from 1 species
AAGGAGUCGAGGUUUUGCGCGAGUGUUUGGGUAUAAAACCCGCACGCGUAAUGAAAGUGAACGUAGGUGAGAGCUUCGGCGCAUCAUCGACCGAUCCUGAUGUAUUCGGAUGGAUUUGAGUAAGAGCGUAUAGCCUCGGACCCGAAAGAUGGUGAACUAUGCCUGGAGAGGGUGAAGCCAGAGGAAACUCUGGUGGAGGCUCGGAGCGGUACGGACGGGCAAAGAGAUCGACAGAUUUGGGUAUAGGGGAGAAAGACGAAACGAACCAUCUAGUAGCUGGU